CGGCACGGUGAGUAACACGUAUCCAACCUGCCGUCUACUCUUGGACAGCCUUCUGAAAGGAAGAUUAAUACAAGAUGGCAUCAUGAGUCCGCAUGUUCACAUGAUUAAAGGUAUUCCGGUAGACGAUGGGGAUGCGUUCCAUUAGAUAGUAGGCGGGGUAACGGCCCACCUAGUCUUCGAUGGAUAGGGGUUCUGAGAGGAAGGUCCCCCACAUUGGAACUGAGACACGGUCCAA
rnacentral:rRNA from 1 species